rnacentral:rRNA from 1 species
AUUGAACGCUGGCGGCAUGCCUUACACAUGCAAGUCGAACGGCAGCACGGGAGCAAUCCUGGUGGCGAGUGGCGAACGGGUGAGUAAUAUAUCGGAACGUGCCCAGUCGUGGGGGAUAACGUAGCGAAAGCUACGCUAAUACCGCAUACGAUCUAUGGAUGAAAGCGGGGGGAUCGCAAGACCUCGCGCGAUUGGAGCGGCCGAUAUCAGAUUAGGUAGUUGGUGAGGUAAAGGCUCGCCAAGCCGACGAUCUGUAGCUGGUCUGAGAGGACGACCAGCCACACUGGGACUGAGACACGGCCCAGACUCCUACGGGAGGCAGCAGU